CCUACGGGUGGCAGCAGUGGGGAAUAUUGCACAAGGGGGGAAACCCUGAUGCAGCAACGCCGCGUGAGUGAAGAAGUAUUUCGGUAUGUAAAGCUCUAUCAGCAGGGAAGAGAAUGACGGUACCUGACUAAGAAGCCCCGGCUAACGACGUGCCAGCAGCCGCGGUAAGACGUAGGGGGCGAGCGUUCUCCGGAUUUACUGGGUGGAAAGGGAGCGUAGACGGUUCUGCAAGUCUGAAGUGAAAGCCCGUGGCUUAACCGCGGAACGGCUUGGGAAACUGUGGAACUGGAGUGCUGGAGAGGCAAGCGUACUUCCUAGUGUAGCGGUUCACUGCGUAGCUAUUAGGAGGCACCCCAGUGGCGACGGCGGCUUGCUGGACAGUACCUGACGUUGCGGCUCGACAGCGUGGGGCGCACACAGGAUUAGAUACCCCUGUAGUC
rnacentral:rRNA from 1 species